rnacentral:rRNA from 1 species
GUAGGGGGCAAGCGUUGUCCGGAAUUAUUGGGCGUAAAGCGCGCGCAGGCGGCCCGUUAAGUCAGAUGUGAAAUCCCUCGGCUCAACCGAGGACCUGCAUUUGAAACUAACAGGCUGGAGUACAGGAGAGGGAAGCGGAAUUCCUAGUGUAGCGGUGAAAUGCGCAGAUAUUAGGAAGAACACCGGUGGCGAAGGCGGCUUCCUGGACUGUUACUGACGCUGAGGUGCGAAAGCUAGGGGAGCGAACAGGGAUUAGAUACCCUGGUAGUCCUAGCCGUAAACGAUGGGCACUAGGUGUAGGGGGUAUCAACUCCCCUCUGUGCCGGAGCUAACGCAUUAAGUGCCCCGCCGUGGGGAGUACGGCCGCAAGGCUA